AGAACGAACGCUGGCGGCAGGCCUAACACAUGCAAGUCGAACGCUGUAGCAAUACAGAGUGGCAGACGGGUGAGUAACGCGUGGGAACCUUCCCAGUGGUGCGGAAUAGCUCAGGGAAACUUGAGGUAAUACCGCAUAAGCCCUUAGGGGGAAAGAUUUAUCGCCAUUGGAUGGGCCCGCGUCGGAUUAGCUAGUUGGUGAGGUAAUGGCUCACCAAGGCAACGAUCCGUAGCUGGUUUGAGAGAAUGACCAGCCACACUGGGACUGAGACACGGCCCAGACUCCUACGGGAGGCAGCAGUGGGGAAUCUUGGACAAUGGGCGCAAGCCUGAUCCAGCCAUGCCGCGUGAGUGACGAAGGCCUUAGGGUUGUAAAGCUCUUUGCCGGGGACGAUAAUGACGGUACCCGGAGAAUAAGUCCCGGCUAACUUCGUGCCAGCAGCCGC
rnacentral:rRNA from 1 species